GGGGAAGUCCGGUGAGAGUCCGGCGCUGACCCGCAACGGUAAGCGAAGCGUCCGCUUCGCGAGCCCGAUCACCC
rnacentral:ncRNA from 1 species